GGCUUCUUCGGCAGGCCGGAUCCUAACAAUUGGAAGGAUACAGAGAAGGUUAGCAUGGCUCCUGAGCAAGGGUGACGCGAAAAUUUGUGAAGCGUUCCAUUAAGAG